rnacentral:rRNA from 1 species
GGGUCAGUAGGUUGGUCGUGCCACCGGUACGUACUGGUCUCACUGAUUCCUCCCUCCUGAAGAACCGUAAUGCCAUUAAUUUGGUGUUGCGGGGAAACAGGACUGUUACUUUGAAAAAAUUAGAGUGUUUAAAGCAAGCUAGCGCUUGAAUACAUUAGCAUGGAAUAAUGAAAUAGGACGAUCGAUCCUAUUUUGUUGGUUUCUAGGAUUGACGUA